rnacentral:sRNA from 1 species
AGAAAAACAAAACCUAACCUCACCCUUUUCUUUAUUAACUGAGAGAGAGGUUUGAAUGAGGGGGAGCCUAGAGAAAGGGAUAGAACCGUGAAACUAGGAGGAGGCUAGAUGCUGUUGUGAGCAAGGAGACGUCAGGUGGUGCGUUAAGGAAUCCUGGAGAAGCCUUGGAAGCUAGCUCCUGGAAGUGUGGUGGAAGUAGCACUGG